GACGAACGCUGGCGGCGUGCUUAACACAUGCAAGUCGAACGGAAAGGCCCGGCUCUUGUGGGGUGCUCGAGAGGCGAACGGGUGAGUAAAACGUGAGUAACAUGCACCUGAAUUAGGGAUAAAACCAGGAAACAGGGGCUAAUACAGGAUAGGAGCUCCUGCUGCAUGGGGGGGGUUGGAAAGUUUCGGCGGUGGGGGAUGGACUCGCGGCUUAUCAGCUUGAUGGGGGGGUAGUGGAGUACCAAGGCUUUGACGGGUAGCCGGCCUGGGAGCUUGGACAGCCUCCUUGGGCCUACGGUACGGCCCAGUCUCCUACGUGCGGCAACGGGCGGAAGUAUUACGCAGUGGGCGGGCGCCUGUUACAGCGGCGCCGCGUGCGUAAUGACGUCCUUCUGGUUGUAAACCGCUUUCUCCUUUGACGAAGCGUGAGUGACGGUAAUUGGUAAAGAAGCACCGGCUAACUACGUG
rnacentral:rRNA from 1 species